rnacentral:rRNA from 1 species
UACGUAGGUGGCAAGCGUUGUCCGGAUUUAUUGGGUUUAAAGGGUGCGUAGGCGGCUUUGUAAGUCAGUGGUGAAAUAUGGCAGCUCAACUGUCAAGGUGCCAUUGAUACUGCGGAGCUUGAGUACAGAUGAGGUAGGCGGAAUUGACGGUGUAGCGGUGAAAUGCUUAGAUAUCGUCAAAAACACCUAUAGCGAAGGCAGCUUACUAGGCUGUAACUGACGCUGAGGCACGAAAGUGUGGGGAUCAAACAGG